GGGGCUGGGCGGGCGCG
rnacentral:miRNA from 1 species